rnacentral:rRNA from 1 species
UACGAAGGGGGCUAGCGUUGUUCGGAAUUACUGGGCGUAAAGCGCACGUAGGCGGGUCUGUAAGUAAAGGGUGAAAUCCCAGGGCUCAACCCUGGAACUGCCUUCUAGACUGCAGGCCUCGAGGUCAGGAGAGGCGAGUGGAAUACCGAGUGUAGAGGUGAAAUUCGUAGAUAUUCGGAGGAACACCAGUGGCGAAGGCGGCUCACUGGUCCAUUACUGACGCUGAGGUGCGAAAGCGUGGGGAGCAAACAGG